AUUGAACGCUGGCGGCAGGCCUAACACAUGCAAGUCGAGCGAGCGGCGGACGGGUGAGUAAUGUACGGGGAAUGCCCGCUUGAGGGGGAUAACUACUGGUAACGGUAGCUAAUACCGCAGCCUAUCGGAUGAACCAUAUGGGUUUAGCUAGUGGGUGGGGUAAUGGCUAACCUGGGCGAGGAUCCCUGCCUGGUCUGGGGGGAUGAUCAGCCAAACGGGAACUGAGACACGGCCCAGACUCCUCCGGGGGGCACAGUGGGGAAUAUUGGACAAGGGGCACAGUCCUAAUGCACCAAGUCCGCGUGUAGGAAGAAGGCCCUAGGGUUGUAAAGUACUUUCAGUCGGGAGGCGUUACCGACAGAAGAAGCAACGGCUAACUCCGUGCCAGCAGCCGCGGUAAUAC
rnacentral:rRNA from 1 species